rnacentral:rRNA from 1 species
CCUGGCUUAGGACGAACGCUGGCGGCGUGCCUAACACAUGCAAGUCGAACGGAGCUAUUGAGCUUGCUCUUUAGCUUAGUGGCGGACGGGUGAGUAACGCGUGAGCAACCUGCCUGUUAGUGGGGGAUAACUUCCGGAAACGGAUGCUAAUACCGCAUAUAGUACAUAAUCCGCAUGGAUAUGUGUAUGAAAGGAGCAAUCCGCUGACAGAUGGGCUCACGUCCGAUUAGUUUGUUGGUGGGGUAACGGCCUACCAAGACUUCGAUCGGUAGCCGGGCUGAGAGGCUGAUCGGCCACAUUGGGACUGAGACACGGCCCAGACUCCUACGGGAGGCAGCAGUGGGGGAUAUUGCACAAUGGAGGAAACUCUGAUGCAGCAACGCCGCGUGAGGGAUGAAGGUCUUCGGAUUGUAAACCUCUGUCCUUAGUGAAGAAUUUUUGACGGUAACUUUGGAGGAAGCUCCGGCUAACUACGUGCCAGCCGCUGC